AACGUAGGACACAAGCGUUAUCCGGAGUUACUGGGCGUAAAGGGCGUGUAGGCGGACGUGUAAGUCUAUUCUGAAAGCUCCUGGCUAAACUGGGAGAGGCGAAUGGAGACUGCAUAUCUAGAGUGAGGAAGAGGAAAGUGGAAUUCCGCGUGUAGUGGUGAAAUGCGUAGAUAUCGGGAGGAACACCAGAGGCGAAGGCGGCGCACUGGACAGCAACUGACACUCGAACUGACGAAAGCGUGGGGAGCAAACAGG
rnacentral:rRNA from 1 species